AUUGAACGCUGGCGGCAGGCUUAACACAUGCAAGUCGAGCGGAGAUGAGGUGCUUGCACCUUAUCUUAGCGGCGGACGGGUGAGUAAUGCUUAGGAAUCUGCCUAUUAGUGGGGGACAACAUUCCGAAAGGAAUGCUAAUACCGCAUACGCCCUACGGGGGAAAGCAGGGGAUCUUCGGACCUUGCGCUAAUAGAUGAGCCUAAGUCGGAUUAGCUAGUUGGUGGGGUAAAGGCCUACCAAGGCGACGAUCUGUAGCGGGUCUGAGAGGAUGAUCAGCCACACUGGGACUGGGACACGGCCCAGACUCCUACGGGGGGCAGCAGUGGGUAAUAUUGGACAAUGGGCGGAAGCCUGAUCCAGCCAUGCCGCGUGUGUGAAGAAGGCCUUUUGGUUGUAAAGCACUUUAAGCGAGGAGGAGGCUACCUGGAUUAAUACUCUAGGAUAGUGGACGUUACUCGCAGAAUAAGCACCGGCUAACUCUGUGCCAGCAGCCGCCGUAAUAC
rnacentral:rRNA from 1 species